GAGAAAUAACGACUGAAACAUUUCUCACUUUCUACUUUCUAGGCUCUCACCGGAUGGAAGUGUCAGAAAAUUUGCCUUUGAGCUGGCAGUGCACUUCAGCUGCCCAUUCCCUGCAUCCUGGUCGAGGAAGAGCAUGGCGGGGAAGGACUGGUUCACCUCCUUCAUGGAGCGCAGUGGCAGCCUCUCCCUUCGGCGUCCAGAGGCCACUAGCCAACAACGGUUGUCAAGUUUCAACCAAAGGGUCACCACUGUCCAGGUGCAAGACCGCGUCGUCGCCCAGAUGGAGCAGAAGCAGGUCGGGUCAGUGACCUCAGCGGAGAGGGGGACCCUGGUCACAGUUGCCCUGGCAGGCAAUGCUCAGGGCGACCUUGUUCCGCCAUUCUUCAUCUUCCCCCCGUAAGCGGUUCAAAGACCACUUCCUGAGGGGUGGACCCGUUGGCUGUGCAGGCAGCGGCAACCCAACUGGCUGGAUGAAGGAGCCAGACUUCCUCCUGUACCUGGCCCACUUCACCAGUCACACCCGUGUGUCCAAGGAGUCGAAGCUGCUCCUCCUGCUGGACAAUCACACGUCCCACCUGUCAAUUGCAGCAAUUGAUUACUGCAGAGCCAAUGGCAUAGUGCUGCUGUCAUUCCCUCCCCACUGCACCCACAGGUUGCAGCCAAUGGACAUUAGUGUCUUCGGCCCCCUUAAGGGGUACGUAAACAGUGCAGCGGACAGGUGGAUGAGGAGCCACCCAGGGAUAAACAUCUAAAUUUAUGAUGUGCCCUCCAUCGUUGCUGAAGCCUUACCAAAGGCUGCAACAGUGAACAACAUUACCUCCGGGUUCUCAAGUCCAGGGAUCUGGCCUUUUAACCCCUCUGCAUUUGAGGAGAAGGACUUCGCCGGAGCCUAUUCAACAGACCGCCCUCCUCCCCAGGCUUCGGGUGACGAGGUCAGCGCUUCUCCAGGUGCCACUUCAGGCAUGGAUGUACCUGAUCGAGCUGUCCGGCCUGAGGGAGAGGCCGUUGAAUUCAGCCCGGACAUCGUCCGGCCUUACCCUAAGGCCGGACCUAGAAAGAUCACAAAGAGAAGAGGGAGAAAGAGGACAACUGCUAUACUUACGGACACCCCGGUGAGGGCUGCUUUAGAGGCGGAAAAGCAGGGAACUGUGAAGCAGCGUCGUCCCGCCAAGCAGCC
ensembl:lncRNA